AUUGAACGCUGGCGGCAUGCCUUACACAUGCAAGUCGAACGGCAGCAUGAUCUAGCUUGCUAGAUUGAUGGCGAGUGGCGAACGGGUGAGUAAUACAUCGGAACGUGCCCUGUAGUGGGGGAUAACUAGUCGAAAGAUUAGCUAAUACCGCAUACGACCUGAGGGUGAAAGUGGGGGACCGCAAGGCCUCAUGCUAUAGGAGCGGCCGAUAUCUGAUUAGCGAGUUGGUGAGGAAAAGGCUCACCAAGGCGCCGAUCAGUAGCUGGUCGGGAGGGACGAUCAGCCACUCUGGGACGGAGACACGGCCCAGACUCCCACGGGAGGCAGCAGUGGGGAAUUUUGGACAAUGGGGGCAACCCUGAUCCAGCAAUGCCGCGUGUGGGAAGAAGGCCUUCGGGUUGUAAAGCACGUUUGUCCGGGAAGAGAUCGCACUUACUAAUAUUAGGUGUGGAUGACGGUACCGGAAGCAUAAGGACCGGCUAACUACGUGCCAGCCGCCGCAGUAAGAC
rnacentral:rRNA from 1 species